rnacentral:lncRNA from 1 species
UAUCAACAUCUUCUCCACUGGAUUGAGAGAAAACGUGAAAGUAACUUUCCACUUCUCUCUCCUUCCACUCUCCCAUCUCCUCACUUCUCUCUCCCUCCACCUUCCUAUUUCCCCACUUCUCUUUUCCUUCACCCCUAUCUCUCUACUUCUCUCUCCCUCCACCCUCCCAUCUCUCCAUUUCUUUCUCCCUCCACCCUUUCAUCUCUCCACUUCUGUCUCCCUCCACCCCUCCCAUCUCUCCACUUCUUUCUCCCUCCACCCUUUCAUCUCUCCACUUCUCUCUCCCUCCAACCCUUUCAUCUCUCCACUUCUCUCUCCCUCCACCCUUCCCCUCACCCCAAACACACUUUCGUGGUGUUGCCUAAAUUCCUUAUGAGCAUUCAGUGUUUUCUAUUGAUAGUGUUGAACUGGGACAUGAAGGGGAAAAGAGAUAUUCUGCUUGUGUAGGUUGAGCAGUUUUCUUUGUCACAUGAAGGAGGGACGGCAGGCCCUUCGGGCCUAUUUUAGAUCUGUGGCUGCAACUACUAGCGGUAUUUGAAAUUACUGUUGAGCCAGGGUGUUAUGGUAAAAGACAAAAGCAACUUCAUUUUUGUCUCUCGCUGAACUUUCUCAGUGAGGGUGAUCCUUUUCCUAUUCCUGGUUGAAAACUUGGGUAGUCAAUGGUUACAGAUAAUAAAAUGUUAUGGGUCAAUCGCUGUGGCUCAUGCCUGUGAUACCAGUGCUUUGGGAGGCCAAGGCUGGCAGAUCCCUUGAGCCCAGGAGUUCGAGACCAGCCUGGGCAACAUGGUGAAACCCAGUUUCUAAAAAAAGAAGUAAUAAUAAUAAUAAUAAAAAUAAUAAGAUUAGCCAGGUGUGAUGGAGCAUCUAUAGUCCCAGCUACUCUGGAGGCUGAGGUGGGAGGAUUGCUUGAGCCUGGGAGGUUGAGACUGUAGUGAUUGCACUACUUCACUCCAGCCUGGGUGACAGAGUAAUACCCUGUCUCAAACAAACAAACAAAAAAUGUUAUGAUUACUUUAAGGUGAAACUUCCAUCUUAAUGUGAUAUUUGUGUUUUUGCUCUUCUCCCAGUUAG